ACAGCACCAUCACCAACUCAGAGGGAGGGAAGCAACCUUGAGUCAGCUCCCAGGCAGUAAUGAGUGUUCAAGGGAGAUAUAACUCUAAGGAAAAGGAUUGAGGUCAAGGAAUUAGAAGAAACAGAUGGAAGAAUCAUUUGAACCAUAUCCAGGUCUUUUGAAAAUGAUGAGACAGAAGAGAAAGCGAAAAUUGCUUCAGACAGUUUUGCUGAGAAAUUUGUCUCAGAUAAAUUUUGGAGUAAGGUCAGAGACCUAAGAUAAGAAAACCCCUAGGCAGAGGUGGGAAAAAAUAGAAAAAAGAAAACGAAAAGAGCAAAUACAUUCUUCCUUCCUAUCUUCCACUUGCCAGAGUAGCUUUACUAAGAUGCUGCCUGAUCAUUUCUCUCCAGACACUUUUGCCAAUGAUAUUAAUACUAUAAAGGAGCAUUUCUGGACUUGAUUCAUUAAUGAUUAGAAAGCUCGUAACAGAUUAGAUGACCAGGCUACAGUCUCACCUGCCAGGCAGUGCAGCUGCAGAUCUUGGCUGACCAUCAUGUCAGCACCUACUAUGUGCCAGUCACUGUGCCAGGAGUUGGAAAUAUGAGGAAGACCGUAAUUCUCAUAAUGAGAAUACAAGGAAGACCAUCUCUCAAGAAAGGAACAUCAUAAAACAUGUUUACUGUCAAGUCCUUGUCAUUAUCAAAAAUAUCUCCAGAUUGAUGUCAUUCUGAGAAAAGUGAUUUCAUACUGAAAAAAAUUCUACAAAAAUAGUAAAACUCUUCUUCUCAAUUUUCAGAACUUGGAUGGGGUUGGGGGCAGGUGCUUUCAUCUAUUUUCAUCUUGUCCUGGUAGAAAUUAUUUGCUUGAUUAACAUUUUGGUGGAGAAGUUCAGUCUCUAAGGCUACAGAUGAGAAGAUCAGUUACUGGAUGGGUUCCUAACUUCAAUGUCAAAUCCAAGAGCCUGAAAAUAAAGGAUGGAAAGAAAGGGAAACAAAGAAAAGUUAUCAGACAAUGUGAAGACAUUUUAUGGAGAGGAAGAAAGAGUGAGUGAGCACAGGAAAAAUCACAAAGCAGUAUAUGAAGAAAAGAAAGAGAUAACAGUUAUUAGUAAGUAAAGAGAUAAUUAAGAGAUAAUCCUUUCAGUGGCAUGAACACCAUAGUUUGUGACAUCACUGGUCAUUAAUGAUUUGUGAGAAGCAGUGUCUCAACUAUGUUUCUGUUACAUUAAUUAUACCCAAAAUAAAAUAUUUGCACACC
rnacentral:lncRNA from 1 species